rnacentral:ncRNA from 1 species
GAACUGAAGAGUUUGAUCCUGGCUCAGAUUGAACGCUGGCGGCAUGCCUUACACAUGCAAGUCGAACGGCAGCAUGAUCUAGCUUGCUAGAUUGAUGGCGAGUGGCGAACGGGUGAGUAAUACAUCGGAACGUGCCCUGUAGUGGGGGAUAACUAGUCGAAAGAUUAGCUAAUACCGCAUACGACCUGAGGGUGAAAGUGGGGGACCGCAAGGCCUCAUGCUAUAGGAGCGGCCGAUGUCUGAUUAGCUAGUUGGUGGGUAAAGGCCCACCAAGGCGACGAUCAGUAGCUGGUCUGAGAGGACGAUCAGCCACACUGGGACUGAGACACGGCCCAGACUCCUACGGGAGGCAGCAGUGGGGAAUUUUGGACAAUGGGGGCAACCCUGAUCCAGCAAUGCCGCGUGUGUGAAGAAGGCCUUCGGGUUGUAAAGCACUUUUGUCCGGAAAGAAAUCGCACUUACUAAUAUUAGGUGUGGAUGACGGUACCGGAAGAAUAAGGACCGGCUAACUACGUGCCAGCAGCCGCGGUAAUACGUAGGGUCCAAGCGUUAAUCGGAAUUACUGGGCGUAAAGCGUGCGCAGGCGGUUGUGCAAGACCGAUGUGAAAUCCCCGGGCUUAACCUGGGAAUUGCAUUGGUGACUGCACGGCCUAGAGUGUGUCAGAGGGGGGUAGAAUUCCACGUGUAGCAGUGAAAUGCGUAGAGAUGUGGAGGAAUACCGAUGGCGAAGGCAGCCCCCUGGG